GCCUACGGGGGGCAGCCGUGAGGAAUAUUGGUCAAUGGCCGGAAGGCUGAACCAGCCAAGCCGCGUGAAGGACGAAGGUGCCAAGCAUUGUAAACUUCUUUUGUCAAGGGACAAAAUCAGGCUCGAGAGCCUGACCGAGGGUACUUGAAGAAAAAGCAUCGGCUAACUCCGUGCCAGCAGCCGCGGUAAUACGGAGGAUGCGAGCGUUAUCCGGAUUUAUUGGGUUUAAAGGGUGCGUAGGCGGAUUUUUAAGUCAGCGGUAAAAUGUCAGGGCUCAACCCGGGCCG
rnacentral:rRNA from 1 species